rnacentral:rRNA from 1 species
CCUACGGGAGGCAGCAGUGGGGAAUAUUGCGCAAUGGGGGAAAGCCUGAUGCAGCGACGCCGCGUGAAGGAAGAAGUAUUUCGGAAUGUAAACUUCUGUCAGCAGGGAAGAAAAUGACCGUACCUGACUAAGAAGCACCGGCUAACUACGUGCCAGCAGCCGCGGUAAUACGUAGGGGGCGAGCGUUAGCCGGAUUUACUGGGUGUAAAGGGAGCGUAGGCGGUUUAGCAAGUCAGAAGUGAAAGCCCGGGGCUCAACUCCGGGACUGCUUUUGAAACUGUUGAACUAGAGUGCAGGAGAGGUUAGUGGAAUUCCGAGUGUAGCGGUGAAAUGCGUAGAUAUUAGGAGGAACACCAGUGGCGAAGGCGGCUUACUGGACUGUAAAUGACGCUGAGGCUCGAAAGCGUGGGGAGCAAACAGGAUUAGAUACCCCAGUAGUC